rnacentral:rRNA from 1 species
UCCGUAGGUGGUUUGUCAAGUCUGUCGUCAAAGAAUGGAGCUUAACUCCAUAGAGGCGGUGGAAACUGAGAGACUAGAGUUCGGUAGGGGUAGCGGGAAUUCCCAGUGUAGCGGUGAAAUGCGUAGAUAUUGGGAAGAACAUCGGUGGCGAAAGCGCGCUACUGGGCCGAAACUGACACUGAGGGACGAAAGCUAGGGUAGCGAAAGGGAUU